CAGGUCUGUCUUAGAAUCGAUCUGAAGCAACAUCAUUGAUAAUAAUUCCUUUGUAUUAUUUAUUCACUUAUCUAUUUAUUGUGGCAUGUGUGCUGCUGCUGCUGUGGUAUGGGUGUGCAUGCCACGAUGUGGGUUCUAGGGUCUGAACUCCAGUUCUCAAGACUGUGGCACACACUUGAAACCACAGAGCUAGCUCUCCAGCGUCAAUACUUCCUUCCCUUUCUCUUGUAAUGUUUGAGGUUCAGCCAACGAAAUAUCAGCGGAUACAACGAGCAUCCUUUCUUGUCCACAGCUUUCAAAUGGGAGUGUCCUCUCUGUUUCCUCGGGCUGACGGGACUCAGAGGACCACAGGCAUCAGGUCAUGGUGACAUCCAAUACAUUUUAAAGACCUGGACACAGGGGCCGCUGCAGAACACAUGGGAUACUUCCCCUUCUAGAACACUCUCCAGGUUACUGAGUGGGCCUCUUUCCCAUGCUGUGCUGAGACCAGUGUGAACCUAGAAGAUGACUCCAGAUAGCUGCUUGCAUUGGGGAAUGUGUGGAGCUGGAACAAAAGAGUCUCACUUACUUGUGCAUGGCAGUUUGAGGUAAAGGACAGCUGGAGCCUGAGGGGACAUAGAGGAGGAUGCAGUAGAAAUUCAGGGACUGAGAAUCCCACCGGGAAACUCAGCCUUCCUGCCUCGGGAUCAAAGUUUGUCAAUGGAGAAAAACAGAGCUGAUUUCUUCAAAGUUACAGCCGUCGCCAAUUCUUCCUCCUGUUCUGAGUGUGGAAACGAUGCUUGGCAGUGAAGCAGGGAAAUUUUCUGCCUCAGGGAAAGGUCAAAGCAUCCCUGGUCCUGAUGCUGAUGGAGCACUGAGCCAACACCGGGAGCUACUCGUCCCCAUCUUUUGUAUUAUGGGAGAAAAAUAUAUCGCUGUUCUGCAAACCACUGAAUGUGGAUUUUAGUUAUUUGUAUCUCACUGCAUUCCUAUUUACCCAGUAAAUAUCAAAUAUCAUCUAUUCAGCAGAGAGAUGCGACCAGUGGAAAAGGUCACAGAAUUGAAUUGCGCAGAAUUGAGUCGAGGUUCUGCCACUCUGUGUAAUGAGUUACUGAAGCUUUUCUAAGCCCCCAUUCAUUUGUUACAAAAUGCAAGACAAGACAGAGGCGAGCUCCCAGGGACUGGGGAAAUGCGCUCAAUGAUAUUGUAAACUUUUGUAAAUUGUACCUUGAGUAUAUGCAAUGAAUGUUUGACAUACAUAAAAGAACUCUCAGCACCAAUAACCCUGCAGGUCUUGAGAUGAUUAAAAAAUUAUUUCCUAUGAAUUUGUCAUCUAAACGCUGCAUAAAUGUUAUGAAACACCAGCUUUAAGGCUGUGAAGAAGGGAGCUUUGCAAGCUGGCUGUCAGCUUUUCCUUCUGUCUGGAAACAGAGAGGGACUUGUCAACAUGAGCGGAACGCCCAUGACUCGUGACUGUCUGCACUCGUUUGUGGUGUCUGCAUUGAUUCAUCCCAUUCGGCAAUGGAAUCCAGUAGCAACUUUGUACCACCAGGAGGACGGGUGUGAGUUGAUGACUAAUGUAAUUCUUUCACUGGGCCGAUCACUGCCUGUGAUUAGAAAGAACAAUGCACUCAGGGGUGAUGGCUUCUGACUCAGAUCUACAAUAUUGACUGUGCCCUGACAGCUGGUAAUUGGCUAGUGAAUAAAACAGAAAGUCAAAUGCUGUGUAAUAAGCGACUACUUCAGUUGUGCUUUAUUAAUAAAGUCCUUGACAUUGAGCUGGAACUUCUGGCUAGUUACAAGGAAUAUCUAUAAUUAAUAGAAAGUCCUCAAGUGGCUAGAUGUACACAUUUAACAAAAAAUAUAAACUAAAUAAAUAUCAACCAUGAAUUAUA